GCCCGCCUAGCUCAAUCGGAUAGAGCGUCAGACUCUUAUCUCCUUGUUGUAUUGUGAAUGAUCUGAAGGCUGCGAGUUCGACCCUCGCGGUGGGCU